UGGGGUAUGGCUCAGCUAUAGAGCACUUGCCUGCUACGUAAGAGGCACUGAGUUUGAUCCUCAGCACCACAU
rnacentral:tRNA from 1 species